UACGGGGGGGGCAAGCGUUGUUCGGAAUUACUGGGCGUAAAGGGCUCGUAGGCGGCCAACUAAGUCCGACGUGAAAUCCCUCGGCUUAACCGGGGAACUGCGUCUGAUACUGGUUGGCUUGAAUCCGGGAGAGGGAUGUGGAAUUCCAGGUGUAGCGGUGAAAUGCGUAGAUAUCAGGAGGAACACCGAUGGCGAAGGCAGGUCUCUGGGCCAUAACUGACGCUGAGAAGCGAAAGCAUGGGGAGCGAACAGG
rnacentral:rRNA from 1 species